rfam:Glarea lozoyensis 74030 unplaced genomic scaffold M7I_scaffold4, whole genome shotgun sequence.
ACAUACGACCAUAGAUUGUGGAAAUCAGGGCAUCCCGUCCGCUCUGCCGUACUUAAACCACCAAUCGGCAGAUUAGUAGUUGGGUGGGUGACCACCAGCGAAUACCUGCUCUUUUAUAUU